ensembl:lncRNA
AGGAGGAAAUAUGUGGUUUGCUUUUUUAUUUUUAGUUUUAUUUUUUUAUUUAUUUUUUUAUUUACUUAUUUAUUUUUUACUUAUUUUUUUGUUGUUGUUGUUGUUAUGACUUGUCAUUUUGCCUAAAGGUGAGAUAUUUGUCUUGUGAAACAUUGCAGUUGCAUGUUGAGUUGCUGGAAUUAAUGUUUUUAAGUCAUUUAUAUAAAUAAAAGGGAGGGGGAAAAAAAAGAAUGUGGAUAUGUGAUGAUUUUCAGUAUGAAGAAAAUGUUAUAGCAACGCCCCUCUGAGGAACGUCACUUACUAAAAGUGAAAGCAAAACUGCACAGCUUUUAUAUUUCAGUACACCAGCCCAUGACUGCAUUUGUGCAAAACUGCAACUGGAGCAAGAAUGGCUUUUCAGGUUUUAAUCCGCUUUAGUGAUAAGAAAGAUACACCAUUAACUGUAGCAACUUCAAGUGAUGAAUUUGAGAAAACCAAAAUUCAAGAAAUAAAAGAAAAAUUCAAACGGGAAAAUCCAGGAGCAACAGCACCUGAAGAUGAAGAUAAAAGAAUACCCAGGACUGAAUCAAUGGAAAGAUUAGCUGAAAUGCAGCAGACUGAGCCAGAUCUCAACAGAUCAUGUCUGAUUAUGUAGUUCAGUUCAGCCUCAUAUAAAUCCAUACACUGUGGGCUCAUCAGUGUAAUAUCAUUUACAAUUACUACCAUAAAAUACACUGGCACAUAUUCUCUUCUGAUUUCAGCCUCUUAGAGUAAAAGAGUUCAUAACAUAGAGGUCACAAUGAACUGAUCACCUGUACCAAAAACCCAGUGUAUAGUUAAAGAGUCAGCAGUUAACAGAAUAAUAACCCGUCCAUAAAGAACACAGAUUCACUCUGUCUCAGGAGAUCUCAGUGAUGACUGAAACCUUUAUUACGAGCAUUUCUCAUGUUAAGGGGCCAAUUAUAAAUUCUCUUGUGUCACAAAAUAUUUUACUGAAGAGGCUGAAAUCAGAACAGAAUACAUGAUAUUGAAUUUAAUGGUAGUAAAUUUGAACAAAAUAUGAACAACAAUGUUUAAGGCUCCAUUAAUAAUCUUAAAACUGACCCUUUAUUCUGUCACCAUAAAAUAAAGUAUCUCAUGCAUAUUUAAUAAUAAAGUGU